rnacentral:rRNA from 1 species
UAAUACGGAGGGGGCUAACGUUAUUCGGAAUUACUGGGCGUAAAGCGCACGCAGGCGGCGUGAAUAGUUAGAGGUGAAAGGCCUGGGCUCAACCCAGGAACUGCCUUUAAUACUUUCAUGCUAGAAUACAGGAGAGGGUAGUGGAAUUCCAAGUGUAGAGGUGAAAUUCGUAGAUAUUUGGAAGAACACCAGUGGCGAAGGCGGCUACCUGGACUGAUAUUGACGCUGAGGUGCGAAAGCGUGGGGAGCGAACAGGAUUAGAUACCCUGGUAGUCCACGCCGUAAACGAUGAGUGCUAGUUGUCGGGUGUUUGGCAUUCGGUGACGCAGCUAACGCGUUAAGCACUCCGCCUGGGGAGUACGGCCGCAAGGUUA